rfam:Candidate division WWE3 bacterium RBG_16_37_10 RBG_16_scaffold_3766, whole genome shotgun sequence.
GGAGGGAUACCGAAGUGGUCGUACCGGGCUGGUCUCGAAAACCAAGCGUCGCGCAAGCGGCACGUGGGUUCGAAUCCCACUCCCUCCG